UUAAGUAUUUUCAUUCGUGUCCCUACAGUCUCAAGUAUCAACCACGUGUGAAUUGUGAUAUACUUGAGUUCUUCCGAGGGAGACAAUUUGGGGCUUGAAGCUUACUGGAACUCUACCAGCUAUUUUCAACAUGGAAAACUUUAGUCUCCAUUUUCUUAUUUUCAAGUUACAUAGUAAUUUACUCUUUCGCUCACUUACCCUAUGUAUUUUCUUUCCUCCAACUGUUUUUGGCCUUGACACAAACUCAAAUCUUUUCCAAAUGGAAGAAGCCCGGUGGAUAAUGCUCCACCAAAAUCUCAGAGAUGGAAGAUUGAAGAAAAAAAUGGUGAAGAAAGAUGUCAAUACACAUCUUGAAGGCGGGCGGGGUGGGGGUUCCCUAACGUCAUGGGAAGUGGAGACAAGGUUUGGAUUGUGAUAAUCUAAGCAUAAUAAUGGAAGGGUGUUGAAUCAAGAUUGUGGGUGACCGAGAAAGUAGUGAACUUGGUCUAUUUGAUCAGUCUCAUUCUUCAGGGUAAGCAGGGAGGAGACCCAGAUUUGUAGAAGUCGAUAAGCAGAGUGUCGAAAGCACCCCAUUAUUCCGGAGGUGUCAUUGAUUUAUCAUUUUAUGUACAUGUAUGUUUCGGGCACGACGGGGUCCUGUCCUGUCCAUAUGUCUAGCAUUCUAGUAGUGGCUCGUAGAUACGUAUGUGUGGGUAAUAUGGUCUUGCGAUUUUGAUAAAUGUAUAUAUGUAUAUAGGUAUGUGUGUAUUACUUUGAUAGCCGAAGGGCUUAUGCAUAUAAAGGUAAUUAUGUUUCCAAAUGAAAAA